ACGGGUGAGUAACACGUGGGUAACCUGCCCAUCAGAGGGGGAUAACAUUCGGAAACGGAUGCUAAAACCGCAUAGGUUCUUGAGUCGCAUGACUCGAGAAGGAAAAGAGGCUUCGGCUUCUGCUGAUGGAUGGACCCGCGGUGCAUUAGCUAGUUGGUGAGGUAACGGCUCACCAAGGCCGUGAUGCAUAGCCGACCUGAGAGGGUGAUCGGCCACACUGGGACUGAGACACGGCCCAGACUCCUACGGGAGGCAGCAGUAGGGAAUCUUCGGCAAUGGACGGAAGUCUGACCGAGCAACGCCGCGUGAGUGAAGAAGGUUUUCGGAUCGUAAAGCUCUGUUGUAAGAGAAGAACGAGUGUGAGAGUGGAAAGUUCACACUGUGACGGUAUCUUACCAGAAAGCCACGGCUAACUACGUGCCAGCAGCCGCGGUAAUACGUAGGUGGCAAGCGUUGUCCGGAUUUAUUGGGCGUAAAGCGAGCGCAGGCGGUCAAUUAAGUCUGAUGUGAAAGCCCCCGGCUCAACCGGGGAGGGUCAUUGGAAACUGGUUGACUUGAGUGCAGAAGAGGAGAGUGGAAUUCCAUGUGUAGCGGUGAAAUGCGUAGAUAUAUGGAGGAACACCAGUGGCGAAGGCGACUCUCUGGUCUGUAACUGACGCUGAGGCUCGAAAGCGUGGGUAGCAAACAGGAUUAGAU
rnacentral:rRNA from 1 species